UUGGGUUCCAUGGUGUAAUGGUUAGCACUCUGGACUCUGAAUCCAGCGAUCCGAGUUCAAAUCUCGGAUUAGCUUAAA